UAAAAGUCACAGAGGAGAUUAUUGCUGUGCUUUUCUUUGUCAAUACCAUCAAAUUUUGUUGCAGUUAUAAAAAGUACAACCAGGUUACCUUUUCUCUUACUGAAUUUCAUGUUUCACAGGUCUGUAACAUUUUUUAUCCAGUAGAGAAUUUUAGAAUAGUUUCUGUAAGCAUUCCAAGAAUUUAAAUGUGAGAGUAGUUUCACAUUGUACUAUCAUGUUUUGCGCCCUUGUUUUUCAAGUACACCAAAGAAAAUGUAUGUUUCCCAAAAAUGAAAUAUGAUGUCCACAUUAAAAAAAUAAAGCCUACAAAAAGUUCCAGAGCUAAAAAAGAUUAUUCAUAUGGCACAAUGUGAUCUCCUACUAGUCCAAAGGUUUAAGUGAAGUUCAUAUAUAU